CGGGAGGCGGGGCGGCCCCGGAAGCUGGAGAAAAGUUGCAGGGAUCCGAGCGCCAGCAGCUGCUGGAGCUGGAGCCGCUGGAGCGAGGACCACCCCGCAGCCUCCGGACUUUGUUUGCAGAGCAGCGUGCCACGCUGAAGGGGGAACACGGUUCCCAGCUACCCUUGCAGCUCGCGGUGGUCACGUGACACGGAUCUGCCCAAUGGGAUGCUAAUGAAGGUCUGGAGGCGGGGCUUCUAGGGAAGACCAAGGCCCCGGAUCCAAGAUGGCAGCCCAGGAGAACCACUGGCACCCGGGUUCUUGGUGGCUCAGCUUCUCGCAUGAGCGUGAAGGUUCCAACCGAGAGCAAGCCUCCGUUGCCCGCGGGUCCCCUGCGGAGUCCCCGAAUUAACUUCCGUGACCAACUCCCCGCCGACUUCAAGGUCUCCCCUGUAUUAAAAUAAUUUCUGGUCUGGACUGUUUCACUGAAGAACCCCCAGGUCAGUUUCUACGUGCCUCGCCCCCUUGGCGGGUCAAACUCCUCAGGGGUGGAGCUUAUGAGCACCUGCCGGGAAGGCGUGGCCUGGCCGCUGGGUGGAGCUUGUGAGCACCUGCCGGGAAGGCGUGGUCUGGCCACUGUGACUCUGGAACCAGGCCGGUGAGGAAGAAAUCACCUGUUCUGCCUGCAUCGUGGAGAGCGCACCUCCCAGCCGCAUGCCUUAGACAGGACCAAGCUUCCGGAGCCCAGCUCUGUUGUUGACCCUGCGUGUGCAGCUGCCCCAGAGACACCUGGUGCCUCGGAUUCCUGGACCUUUGGGGGCCGCUUUGGAAUAAACCCGUUGCGGCUCGGCCUUUCCCUGUGGGGGUAUGGUUUAGCUUACCUUCCAAAUUUUUUUUGCUGCUGAAGUCUCCUUUCUCUUUGUCCUUCUGGAUUUAUGCCUUAUGGGGAAGAUCGAUCCAAAGUGAUGGCAGGAGCCAUUUGGGAGGGAGGGAAAGGACCACCCUGCACCGGCCCCCCACCUUUGCCACACACCGCUGGCCGGUUCUGUGAAAGAUUCUGUCUGAAUGAACGAACUCGGGGUCCGUCCGCAGCAUUCUAAAGCAGCAGAGAUCUCAGACUUAUAUAUAUUCUUCCUCUUUCUUCACUCCUUCCUCUCUUCCCUCCUUCCCUUCUUCUUUCCUUCCUCCCUCCCUCCUCCCUUCCUCCCUCCUUCCCUUCCUUCCGUCUCUUCCUCCCUCCAUCCUUUUCUCCCUCCCCUUUUUGUUUCAGCCUCUGGUCUAUGAGAAAGAGAAGAAGACCGCAAGGGAACGUUGCACUUUAAAUACGGUUGAUCUACCCUCGUGAAUGAUAAGCCAGCCAAGCCUUAUUUUACAGCCACUAUUUUAAUUUUCUGAAGUCACCCACUGUUUCACUCCAUCGGCUUUAGCCUUUUUCUCUAAAGCUAUAUAGCCUUGCUUUCAUUUUCCCAAAACUUGCCCUUUAUAUUUAGAAACUCAGUUUUUAUCUUACUUCUACGGUGAUUGCUAUCUUGUUUCCAAAAGAAAGAAGAACAAGAAAGAAAAGAAAGGAAGGAAAACCACCAUAAAGAGCAGUUAGGCGGAAAGGCAGUGGCCGUGUUGAUGAAAUCUGGGGGACUCGGGGAAAACGUGUCAUGAGCAAUCCCAGGCCGCUUCAGCUGCUGGUGCUGGCAGUGUGCAAACGUCUGGGGUAUUUGCAGAUAUCUUCACCCUGGGAUGGAAAAUUGGGAGCAACCAUCUGGAUGUCUGGCUACAUGUUUCAUUUUUUAGAUGGAUUUUUAAGAGUGCCGUGUAGGAACUUCCAGCAGUGAGGCAACAUACAGUAAAUUCAGCAACGCUUUUAUUGAUACGCUGUGAAUCAAUAUCUAAGUGGCAGAAUUAUAUACAUAGCUAGCACAAGCACGUAAAAAUUAUUGUCAUGUGUUAAAAAGUAUUAAUUCAGAGGGGCGCCUGGGUGGCUCAGUCGGUUGAGCGUCCGACUUCGGCUCAGGUCAUGAUCUCCCGGUUUGGGAGUUCGAGCCCCGCGUCGGGCUCUGUGCUGACGGCUCGGAGCCUGGAGCCUGCUUCGGAUUCUGGGUCCCCCGCUCUCUCUGCCCCUGCCCUGCUCAUGCUGUGUCUCUCAAAAAUAAAUAAACGGUAAAAGAAUUUUUUUAAAGUAUUAAUUCAGAGAAUGUGAGCCUUGGAGAUACAGCCCAGUUUCUAUAAUCUCGUAUUGGCCUUUCACCAUUAAAUAAAAAAAAUCAGCCCGUCGGGUAAAGAAAAAAAGAAUGGCAUGUUUUGGGCCUCCGUUAGAGUUUGGUGGGCCUGAUUUUGGAAGGAAUCCACCGAUGAUGGACUGGAAGGCUGGUGGGGGGGGGGGUUCAGUACCAGGAAGUGGGGUGAAGGUAGGCGUGUCUGAUGUUUGCUCAUGCGGAUGGGCUCUGGCAUCUGUGAGCACACAGCAGUGCAAGGGAGCCCACAGACAGAAGCCUGGAGCCCCCGGCGGCCUCAUCAUCUCUGGAGCGAAACCUUCCUCCUCCAUCAGGGAGUGAGGAAGGACAGCCUCCCUCCCCACCAGGUAGAGAGGACGAUGGAGAAGAGGGCGCCUCCGAGUGUACAGGGUGAGUGAGCUUCGUGGAGCACAACCCGCCAGCCAGUGGGUGGGUUCUCAGCCCCAGCCUCCGCCCUGGCCCUGCAGCUCUUGGGACGCAGCUCUCAGGGGGGCCAGCUGGGGACACGGCUGCACAGGAAUGAUGCCACAGCUCACGGUGACCCGGGAAGUCAGGGCUGAUCCCAGCCUCACGUUUGUUCCCAGGAACGCUGGAACUAAUACAUUUAAUGAGAGAGUCGUUUUGGUGCCUUUUUUUUAAAGAAAUACAAUACUGAUCGCAGUAUUCACAGGUGCUUCAAAAACGGUCUGUUGAGUGGUGAUACCACUUGUAUGCGUGUUAAAAUUGUCCUGUUCCCCAGAUCUGAAGAAUCACCUGGCCGGAGCAUGCCAUAGCUUCUAAACACGAAACAGUGUUGGGUAUAGUUAUUCCCGAAUGACUCUAUUUCUUCAAACAAAAUGUUAGAAGUCAAUAUUCUGUUUUCUAACGUGGAAUAUUGGUUGUAGGGGCACCGGUUUCCUAAUGGGAUGCUUGUCACCUUCUCUGAGGCUUAAGUAAAUGUUUUCCUUUGACAGUCAAAACUUGGGAGACAUUCCCACUUCUCUUCAAGGAUGUGGAGCGUCCCCUUCCGGGAGCGCGUCGGGGCCUCUCACAGCAUUGCACCUGCUGCUAUGUUCCUGCUUAUCACCCCGGCUGGCUGCCAGACUCAUUGGAAGGGAAGGUUGGACGUCCAUAUAUCCCGCGUGUACUCAAGACAGCCGCAAAAAACUUAGGAACUUGUGGAUUUGCCAGAACUUCCAAUUUACCUGCCCGUAUGCGCAAAAUAAACAUGCAGAUUUACGUUAUUUCCCAUAAGUUACAUUGCCACCAAUCACCACACCACAGAGCACAAACUCUUCUUUUUUUUGCUGAAUUAAGCAACAUGAAUUCUCCCUGUAGCUGUCCAUGACUUAAUCACACGUUUCGUUUAUUUCUCUAAACUGUAUCCUCCACCCAUCAUGGGAUAGCUUUUCAUUCUUUUCCCAUAUCAAAUUGCCAUCAGCAAUUCCAUGGCUCUGGAAACCAGCGCCCAGGAAACAAGAAAACCAACACCUGUAAUUAGAGGGGGAAAAAAAAAAAAACAUUUGCUUUGUAUUCACGCCAACAAUUCCACUCGCCAGCAACAAGCACUUUGUCAUAUUCCGAGGUGGUGUGAAUUAUGAAUUAUGGAUUGUUUGCAAGAAAACAGUACAAAAGUACGUUCUGGACUUCCACCUAGGCAAGAGUGAAUACGCGACAGAUGGGACGUUGACCGUUUUGUUUCAGAAAGUUCCUCGAUUUGUCAGGGCUGCUGGCUACAAAUGAUUUAGUAGGCCAAGCAGUGUGGAAGGUAACGAAAUAGAUGGUGUAUGAAAUCUGAGUAUCGUCAAGAUACUCCCAAGUC